AGCCAUUGGCUGAUGAGAGAUGUAGUCUGGAGGUUUCCCCAAUCCCUGGUUUACUGGUUCAAGAAUUACAUUUGGGGCUUUCCAUCUGGUGCCCAACCUACCCCCUGCCCCCCAUGAACCAGCUAUUCUAAUUGAGUAAUAGUUAAUACUUCAGUUUAACACUGGUCAUCUGGAAUGUUUUCCAUGACAAUGUUUUGUUCCAGUUUUUUUGGGGGGGGGGAGCCCAUUACAUAAAAUUCAUUUGGAAGGGCUUAGCAUUUUCUGAUGCUUUUUCUUUGUUGGAGCUGAGCAAUCAUAACAAUAUGCCCACGCCUCAGACUAAUUUUCAGCCAAACAAACAAAAACUAACAACAAUAGCAGCAGCAAGAAAGCAAAAACUUAUUACUGAUGUUCUGUUCAGAGCCAGAUUUGUUCUGUAAAUUCUGCAACACAAUACCAGAUGUUGGCCGCUGAUUAAACAAACAGGAGCUGAGACGCAAGAAAAACAACAGUUUAACUUCAAAGGAAAGGCUAGCUGACUUGAACAACCUUCCCCACCCAUCAACAGGAGGCAGACAGAGUCCCUAACUGGCUCUGUGUUUGAUGGUCAAGCUCUCCUUGCUAAAGUGUCAGAGAGCAGAGAUAAUAGGCUGUUGUUUUAUCUGUAUGAAGAGGCUGAGUAAUGAAGACAAGAAGAAGAAGAGUUUGGAUUUGAUAUCCCGCCUUUCACUCCCCUUCAGGAGUCUCAAAGCGGCUAACAUUCUCCUUUCCCUUCCUCCCCCACAACAAACACUCUGUGAGGUGAGUGGGGCUGGGAGACUUCAAAGAAGUAUGACUAGCCCAAGGUCACCAAGCAGCUGCAUGUGGAGGAGCGGAGACGCGAACCCGGUUCCCCAGAUUACGAGACUACCACUCUUAACCACUACACCACACCGGCUCUCAAAUGUUGGUAGUUCUCAAAUGUGCACUGAAGAUCUAUUUCCAUACAAGAUCUGUUUAGAAUUUAAGCUGAAUUUAAAACAAUUCCUCCAUAAAGCUGCAGUUUAAAAUAAACAGACAUGUUACUUAUGUUUUAAAUUCAACGAUUUCCAGAGGGGUGAUCAUAUUAGGCAGCGUUGCAGCAAAAACAAUAAACUGUCUUGUGGCA